rnacentral:misc_RNA from 1 species
GAAAUGCGAUAAGUAAUGUGAAUUGCAGAAUUCAGUGAAUCAUCGAAUCUUUGAACGCACCUUGCGCUCCUUGGUAUUCCUUGGAGCAUGCCUGUUUGAGUAUCAUGAAAUCUUCAAAGUAAAUCUUUUGUUAACUCAAUUGGUUUCUACUUUGGUAUUGGAGGUCUUUGCAGCUUCACACCUGCUCCUCUUUGUUCAUUAGCUGGAUCUCAGUGUUAUGCUUGGUUCCACUCGGCGUGAUAAGUUAUCUAUCGCUGAGGACACUGUAAAAGGUGGCCAAGGUAAAUGCAGAUGAACCGCUUCUAAUAGUCCAUUGACUUGGACAAUACUUUUAUGAUCUGAUCUCAAAUGAGGUAGGACUACCCGCUGAACUUAAGC